CGUGGCGGCGGCGGCGGCGGCGGCGGGCGCGCUCUCAGAGGUCCCCUCGGAACGCGGGGGUUUCACGCGAGGGGAGCGCGUCUCGGGCCCCGCGCCGCUCAGGCGACAGUCGGGCUGGGAGCGGAGAGGUUUGGGUCAGAGUGUCCGCCUCGCUAGAAGGCUGGCGUCCGCACAGAUUUAUUUUUACGGUGAUUUGUGCGGAGUGGUGCAGAGUUAGAAUCAGUCGGGUCCAUCGCCCAGGAAAGGCCCGCCUUGGCCGAGGGAAAAGGCAGAAUGAAUGGAUCCGUGUAACGGAAAUGCCCCGAGCAGCAUUCAAAGAGAUUCAAAGCAAGCCUGAGAGGAAAUAUGGAGGGAACCACAGGGCAAGGAAUUGCAGAUGGCCUCUGGAAGCUGAGAGUGGUCUGCCAGCCAACAGCCAGCCAAUGAACAGAGACCUCAGUCCUACAACUGCGAAGAUCUGAAUUCCAUCAACCACUUGGAUGCGUGUGGAGGCAAAUUCUUCCCCAGAGCCUCCAGAAAGGAAUGCAGCUUGACCAGCAUUUGGACUUCGGUCUGAAAAAACUCUGGAGAACCCAAUCAUGCGACACCUGGAAUUAUGAACUACAGAACUCUCCAAAGCGAGGCUUCCUGGAGCCCGGGAUCUACUCAGGUCCCAUCAUCAGCACCUGAAACUGUGGAGACACAAGAACUGCUUCCUUUGGGGAAUGGUCAGGAAGCCUCACAGACGCAGGAAGCCAUUUAACCCUCAGGACAGUGUCAGGGGGAUUGACUGAAGCGCCUUCCAGAGGUUACUUCCUGCUCCCCAAGCUGCCGGAAGCCCUUAAAGAGCUGCCACUCCAGUGGCUCUCUCAGCUGACACAUGCCUAAUCUCUCCUUAAGUCCAAUCAUGAGAAAAACAUAAAAAGGGCCCAUUUGGCUCCCAGGGACUUGGGAAUUAGAACAUCUGUGACCGCCUUACAAUCCCUUGUCCACACGCCCAGACAGUUUGGGCGUUUUUCAAACCCCCAUUGGUGCCAACCACUUCUUUCUCUUUUCCUGCGGAGUAAUGAGCCUGCAGGCUGUGCAAACCGGACACAGCUUAGGAAAGUCUGCUGUUCAGUAGGCCCUUGGCUAGUGUCUGUGAACUUCGAUUUCAGGAGUGCUCCCACCAUUCCCAGCAUUCAUAAGCGUGACUGACUCUGCCUCCACUUUCUGUAUAAACAAUGGGGUUCAUGCUGACCACGUUUCCUUCUGAGAGCCUGGAAUUUUUAUAUGAGUUAGGCAGAAGAUGCUCCAAUAAAAAUCCCGAGUCUCUAAUGAGCAUGGGUCUUUAAUGAGCUUCCCUGGUCAACAGUUUUCAUGUGUGUUGUCACAACUUGUUGCUGGAGGAAUUAAGUGUGUCCUGUGUGAGGCCACUAGAAAAGGAUUCUGGAAGUGUGGGUCUAUUUUUCUCUGGACACCACCCCAUGUGCCUUUUCCCUUCGCUGAUUUCACUUGGUAUUCUCUGGCAGUCAUAAAUCAUAGCCAUGAGGACAGCUAUAUGCUGAACGUGCGAGUCCCCCAACAAAUCAUUGAAUCUGAGGCUGAUUUUGGGGACCUCUGACACAAAGCUAUCUCUAUCCAUAAAAACAGCAUAAAGGCUUUUUUCUUCAUUCAGAUCUUCAUGGGGAGAAGUACAGAGGACAUGAUAAAUAGUUCCAUUUGAUCACUGAGAAAACAAGCACAGAGAAGAAAGACAACAUAGUGAGGUUUCAUAGCUAAGAUGGCAGAGCUGGGACUAGAGUUCAGGUUUGUCUGUUUCCACAUCCCAGUUCCUUCCGUUAGUGACAGUUCAACACUCUUAUUGCUAAAGAUUGGGAAUACCUCCCUUCCUUCUCUCCACCCCUUUUUCCUUCCCCUUAACUCUGGUGAACCUGUCUGGCAGGUCUGGCAGCACCGAGUGGUGAAAUGGGAGGAAAGGUGGCAUCAAUUCCACUGACCCUCCCUCCUACCCAUGGAUAACCUCUUUACCCUGGCCCUGUGUCCCACUCCACCCAAGCUUGGCCACUGCCUCCAUUAGCCUUCCCUCCCUGCACCCACCAGCUUCUAACAACUUUGUUUUAGAAUCCAUUGACUGCUGUCUUUAUCCUCAUUCAGUUUCUGAGUGCCCCCUAUGUGCCAGAGACAAAGGUGGCACCUACAGGCCUUGGCCCCAUGGAGCUGCUCCCUAACAUUCAUUGAGGAAAUAUUUAGGGUCAGGGCCUGCUGAAGACACAGCAUGAACAGCCCCCCCAGGGGCAGGGAGAGGC